rnacentral:misc_RNA from 1 species
UGGCGAUGAUGGCGAUGGUGAGGCUGAUCUUGCGUUUUUCAAAACCAAGCAUGGGAUAUCUGAUCGCAUCGAAGCUUUGGUUAAAUCUUGAGAUAUUGGAAGGAUUAACUUGAUGUUGACAAGUUCCGCAAAAAGUUAUGCGUCUUCUUGAGAUUCCAGUUAUAAGAUGUGGUAAAUUACCACAUGUUCUACCCAGAAAAUGAUCUGUUUUGCGCAUACGCCAAAAAAGAUAGGUUGAUUGAUAGAUGCUCCAGUGGACAAUCUGCAUACUACCAACGCAAUGGUGCGUCUAAAAGUUUGAAGGUGUACAUUUUUGUUUGAUAUUAUGAUCAAGAAUGAAACUGAAUAAGCUCAUUUCCUAAACUUCCUAUACCUGCUAAUGCUAUAUGAAUAUGUUAAUGUUAAUAAAUGAGCUGCGAAUAUGCCUUAUUGUUAAUUAAAACUUCUGAAGUAAUCUGUACUACUUUUGAAUAUGUACGAAAAUAGAAGACAAUUGAAGGAAUACUUCUAAUUUUAUUUAUUUCAAUCUACCUUACUUCGAAUGCAGAUUAUAUUUGUUAAAAUAACUACCAUGUGUUUCAAUAUGUAUACCCCAUUUAGGGCAAUCUACACAUCAUACCAAGUUCUACAAUUUGAUACGUUUCGUAUUGUCCAUUUUCUUAGACACAUUCACGUAAUAUAAUUUUCUCUAAUAAAUCAACAUCUUUUCAACCUACCAAAAUAUCACAGUAUUAGUUAAAUUCAUUUACGAUUUUCAUGAAGGUGAAACUAUCGUUAAUCAUUAGUCAACCACAUAGGCAAGAUAAUGGAGUCUUACAGUUCGGUAAUUUUAUUUAAUUAUUAGCAAAGUUUAAUACCGUCGUUGCGGGGCGGCGAUAGGUACUGAUAGGCACAAAACAGAUCUGUGCUAGAUACAGAUUCGUCAC